UAAAAGUUUUAUUUUGGCUUAGUAAUUAGCUAUUAAAUUUUUAUAUAUGUAAGGUUUUUCGUUUCUUUUUAUUUUAAAAAUGAAAGUAUUAUAAGAGGCAGUAUAAAAUUUUAAUUUUUAAGGAAACUUAGAGUUAGAAAUUUAUUUAACAUAAACGAAAUUUGUGCCAGCAGUUGCGGUUAUACAAAUUAUGUAAGUUAAUUUUAUUUAAUGUAAUUAAGUGAAAAAAAAAUUUAAUUAAAAUAAGGUUUUAUUAGGUGAAAUUUUAAGAUUUUUGUUAUUAAAUAUUUUUGUUGUUGAGGUUAGGAAAUUUUUUGAUAGACUAGGAUUAGAUACCCUAUUAUUAUAAAUGUAAGUUUUGAGUUAUAAUUAUUAAUAGCUAUGUUCUUUAAAAUUAAAAAAUUUGGCGGUAUUUUAGUCUUUUCAGAGGAACCUGUUUUUUAAUCGAUAGUCCACGAUAAAUUGAACUUUAGUUUUAAAUUUGUAUAUCGUCGUAGUUUAGAAUAUUUUUUUAGAAUUUUAAUAUUCAGAAAUUUUUUUUGAUGGUAAAUCAGAUCAAGGUAUAGUUUAUAUUAAAGAAAAAAUGGGUUACAAUAAGGUUAUUUUUGGGUUUUUAUUUGAAAUUUAUUAAUAAAUUGGAUUUGAAAGUAAAUUUGAUUAUUUUUUCUUUUUGAUUUUAGCUCUAAGGUAUGCACAUAUUGCCCGUCACUUUCAGUUAAAUGGAAUAAGUCGUAACAUAGUAGACUUAUUGGAAAAUGAGUCUAGAAUGAC
rnacentral:ncRNA from 1 species